AUUUUGAAAUAUCUGACGAUGAUAAGAAAAGUAUCUCUCAGGACAUAAAUUUGUAACAUACUGUGAUGAAAAAUGUUGGUACUGAUCAGUCUAUAGAUUUUGAUGACCGUGAAUUGUUAGAACUUGGAAAAGCGAGAAGAAAACUACUUAAUAAAGCUAUAAUACGAUUGGAUAUCGACUUAACAAGUCACCGCGCCGAUCAAGAUUUAGCAGACAUUUACGUGAACUGUCGGUUACUAGGAUUGCUGUUGAGUAUAGAACACCCGGAAUCAUAUAUAGUACAAGCUAAUAGACAUGAUCAUUUAUUUUGUAAAAUUGCUGGUAUAGACAACAGUAUUCGAACUAUGCCUUGCUUCGGGCACUGUACAACACCAAUGUUUGAGGACUGAUGUAUGAAGUAUGGUUUCA